AUUUGAGUAAUUUAAUAAAAAUACUGAUUUGUGGUAUCAGAAAUAUACUGACGUAUCUUAAAUA
rnacentral:tRNA from 1 species